AGUAAACCAAGCCAACCAAGCAAGUGGAACGUCGCAUGAGUUUGGAAUUUGUCUUUUCAUACGUUUGCUAUCACUAUAGCGAACGAGAUAGAAAGGCGAACACAUUGAAGCAACGAGAGGAAGAAAAAAACGAGUAUUGUAUGUAGUAGUGGCGGCAGCAGCAGCAGCAAUGAGAGAAAAAAAUGUGCCUUUUUUCAUAUUUCGGUUGAUUGUGAAAUUUGUCAAUUACAACUCAGCCUUUUCCUUUCAUUUUUUUUCGAUUUUUUUUUUCUGCCGCUUGUGUCGUUUUGCUUUUUCGCCGCAAAUCGACGCAACAUGAACACACAGAAAUGAAAAACUAUUGAAAACGAGCAAUUACCGAACAAAACUACGGAAAUAGGAACCGAGCCUCUAUUGUGGAAAUAUGAACAAAUAUAAUUUGCCGUUGUUGUUGUUUCUUUUGGUUUCUUGCAUUUCAUUAUAAUAUUACCAGCAGCAGAUAAUCAGGAUUUUGAUGUAUAUACAUAUAAUAAAAUUUCUUUUUUUUGUCGCA